CUCCGUUAAGCUUCUCCAAUAUCGCUCUAGAAAACGAAGAACAGUGAACGCAAAAGGCAGAACCAAAAAUCGUCGGAAUCGGAAGUGAAAGCGGAAGAAGAACAUACAUAAACCAAUUUCGACUAAGAGCAAAAGGAAUCGAAGCUUUUGAUUCUGUUUUUGGACUUCCAAUUCCAGUUUCGAAUUCUCCUCCACAACCACCGCAAAAAACACUCCAAAAUCGCCUUCGCCGAAAAUCUAACACUUUCGUUCGCGAUUCUUCACUGCUUCGAGUAUUAGCGUUCUCCAAUCAACUUCUGACGAAGCUCCGAGACAUGAACAGAUUCAUAUGGAGUGAAAGAGGAUUUGAUGAAUGAAUAAUCCACGAACAACACCGUCAGAGGCAAACGAAAACUGAAAUUCUGCUUCAACAAUGCUUGAAUGCUCAACAGAGAGAAUGCUCAACAGAGAGAGUACUCCGGUGGCAAUGCUUGAAUGCUCAACAGAGAGAGAGAGA
rnacentral:lncRNA from 1 species